AUGGCUGGUUUAUUCAGGAAUAUCUUUGGUGGGAACGAUGGUGGAAACAAUGGAACUGUUGAUGCCUUUAACAACAAGUGUGGCACACAAGAAUACGAUGAGGCUCAGUUCAGUACUGGUGCAAAAGUUACCAAUGGAGGUUACACUACCCACCGUAACAACGGAACCAAAAAUGCAUUCAACAACUCAUUUGGAGGAACUCAGAAAUUCGGAAAGGCCAAGUUCGACACUGGAGCCAGGAUUGGAAAUUGA